rnacentral:rRNA from 1 species
CCUACGGGAGGCUGCAGUAGGGAAUAUUGCUCAAUGGGGGAAACCCUGAAGCAGCAACGCCGCGUGGAGGAUGAAGGUUUUCGGAUUUUAAACUCCUUUUGUUAGAGAAGAUAAUGACGGUAUCUAACGAAUAAGCACCGGCUAACUCCGUGCCAGCAGCCGCGGUAAUACGGAGGGUGCAAGCGUUACUCGAAAUCACUGGGCGUAAAGAGCGCGUAGGCGGGAUAGCAAGUCAGAUGUGAAAUCCUAUGGCUUAACCAUAGAACUGCAUUUGAAACUGGUAUUCUAGAGUAUGGGAGAGGUAGGUGGAAUUCUUGGUGUAGGGGUAAAAUCCGUAGAGAUCAAGAGGAAUACUCAUUGCGAAGGCGACCUGCUAGAACAUAACUGACGCUGAUGCGCGAAAGCGUGGGGAGCAAACAGGAUUAGAUACCCCGGUAGUC